rnacentral:rRNA from 1 species
AACGAACGCUGGCGGCAUGCCUAACACAUGCAAGUCGAACGAGACCUUCGGGUCUAGUGGCGCACGGGUGCGUAACGCGUGGGAACCUGCCCUUAGGUUCGGAAUAACUCCCCGAAAGGGGUGCUAAUACCGGAUAAUGUCUUCGGACCAAAGAUUUAUCGCCUUUGGAUGGGCCCGCGUUGGAUUAGCUAGGUGGUAGGGUAAAAGCCUACCAAGGCGACGAUCCGUAGCUGGUCUGAGAGGAUGAUCAGCCACACUGGGACUGAGACACGGCCCAGACUCGUACGGGAGGCAGCAGUGGGGAAUAUUGGACAAUGGGCGAAAGCCUGAUCCAGCAAUGCCGCGUGAGUGAUGAAGGCCUUAGGGUUGGAAAGCUCUUUUACCCGGGAUGAUAAUGACAGUACCGGGAGAAUAAGCUCCGGCUAACUCCGUG